UCUGCAUAUUGUUCAUCAUAGCUGUGGAGCUGUUAUUAUGGAGAGUAGUGAGGUGAAGGUGGGUGGAGUUUCUUGUUCAGAUGAAAGAGAACAUUCAGCAACUUGGAGAGAAACUUGUGUGUGUAAGCACAAGUGUGUCUGGCCACAAGAAUUGACACCAUCCCUCAGAGGUGGAGAGAAGACACCACAGCAAUUGGAAAGGGGCCAUGGAGAGGAACCUGGGAGCUGUGCUGGGGAUUCUGUGGGUGCAGAUUUGCUGUGAGUUGUGCUCACCUAAGCUGCUUUAGGAAUUCUCCAGAAAUGUCAGUGGUGGAGGGGAUGAGCCAACCCAAAGCUCCUGUGCUGUCAUCCUCAUGGUGUCUCCUGGGAAAUUAGGUGUGGGUGAAGACCUCUCACUGAUUCUGGUUUGCUUUUGUUUCCCAACAGGGGUGAGAGGAUUUGAGGUGGAGCAGAGUCCUCCAGCCCUGAGUCUCCAUGAGGAAACCAGAACUGCCCUGAGAUGCAAUUUUUCUAUCACCAUGACAUAUAUGCAGUGGUUCCGACAGAAUCCCAGGGGCAGCCUCAUCAAUCUUUUUUACCUGACUCCAGGAACAAAGGAGAAUGGGAGGUUCAAGUCGACAUUCAACUCCAAGGAGCGCUACAGCACCCUGCACAUCAGAGAUGCCCAGCUGGAGGACUCAGGCACCUAUCUCUGUGCUGCUGAUGCACAGUGCUCCCAGCAAGCCUGCAGGCUGGCCCCAAACUGCAACUGUGUAUUCAGCUACAGCCCUGCCACAGGCAGACUCUGCAGGAGGCUUUGCACAGCUGUGUCUUUAUCAGAUCUCCACCAAUGACAGAGAAGUUGUGAG